rnacentral:ncRNA from 1 species
CGCCGUGAGACGGAAUCGGAAGGAAGCUGGAUAUGGGGAACAUACUAACCCAUGGGCAAAUCUCCGGUCUGACGAACAGAAAUCACAUAAAAGGUUAUGCAUGAGGGUAAGGCUGCAUAACAAGUCGAAGCCCAAUAACUACACGGAAUCAUGCAUGAUAAAUGUGGCAGAUAGAUGGAGAGAAGGAAAC